rnacentral:lncRNA from 1 species
CAUGUAUUCUGUAAGACUUGCACUCUUGGCCAGUUUGGUUGUCGCAACAGCAGGCACAUACACUCUAGAGGAUCUAAAGCAUGCAACACAGAAGAUAUUUUGCAAGACUGUCAAAUGGUGGAAGAGGACAUCAUGGACCAAUAAUGUAUAUUAGUACAAGACAAGGAGGACCAGGCACAGCCAACACCUUGAUUUUCUGGGACCCUUUCGAGCACUGUGCAGUAUUUGAACAGACACACAGUGGUAAGAAAGAAUGCCAUAUGUACGUGUGGGAGGAUCGCCUUUACCAAAGCGUACCGAAAUGUGAACAUGCAUAUCAGGCUUGCGCGAGAUACAUAUGCCCUCGAUACACGCACCACUGCAGGCCAUGACGGGAAAAUAAAUAUUUUUUAUGCUUC